GGGCAGGUGGCGAAACCGGCAACCGCGGGGGCCUUAAAAGCCCCUGUCCGCACGGGCUUGUGGGUUCGAAUCCCACCCUGCCCACCA
rnacentral:tRNA from 1 species